rnacentral:rRNA from 1 species
UACAGAGGUCUCAAGCGUUGUUCGGAUUCAUUGGGCGUAAAGGGUGCGUAGGCGGGUUUUUAAGUCAGGGGUGAAAUCCUGGAGCUCAACUCCAGAACUGCCUUUGAUACUGAAGAUCUUGAGUCCGGGAGAGGUGAGUGGAACUGCGAGUGUAGAGGUGAAAUUCGUAGAUAUUCGCAAGAACACCAGUGGCGAAGGCGGCUCACUGGCCCGGUACUGACGCUGAGGCACGAAAGCGGGGGGAGCAAACAGG